GGAUUGGGUCCAUAGGGAACCGUAUCGGGAACGUUGUUUCAUACCGGACAGGGUAUGGAGACUUUAAAUAUUUUGGCGUUCAUACUGGACGGGAUAUGAGGACGACCCGCUUCACCAUCAUACCAGACGGGGUAUUGAGGUUUAUUGUUUGGCGCCCAUACCGGACGAGGUAUGGGGACGGCUCUGGAAAUUAAGUUUGUUAAGGGAAUGGCUCAUGUGUAGCAGAGACCCCUAUGGAUCCUCAUGGAUACUAGUAGGCUGAUGAAAAAGGGAGCAACUGUUAUUUGAUGGUUGAAAUAUAAAAGUAUGACAUGUACUAUGUUACAGAUUAUGUAUGAAUUUAUGAUAUCUAUGAUGUUAUUAUUUUCAUAAGUCAUUUUUAUGAAUCCCACUGAGAUAAGGGGACGGUAAAUGGUUUGGUUAUUGAUAAAUAAAUUUACUUGAAACUUGUGCUCAAUUAGUUCUUUUUAGUUUUCUACCAACAUUUACUUAUGUGACAGUGAUAUAGUGUGAUGUCUUUACUGGACUAGUGUACCUCAUUCCUUACUUAACCAUUUCAGAUCAGGAGGACUUGGUUCCCGAGCCUGAUUUACAAGAAGACGACGAGUAGUUACCUAAAUAU
rnacentral:lncRNA from 1 species